AUUUGUCUGGUUAAUUCCGAUAACGAACGAGACCUUAACCUGCUAACUAGAUUCUAUCAUCUUAUGGUUGAUAUCUUCUUAGAGGGACUAUGUAAAACAAAUACAUGGAAUUUUGAGGCAAUAACAGGUCAGUGAUGCCCUUAUAUGUCCUGGGCUGCACGCGUGCUACACUGAUGCAUACAACAAGUGCCUAACCAGACAUGGUAUGGCAAUCUCGAAUAUGCAUCGUGAUGGGGAUAGAUCUUUGCAAUUAUAGAUCUUGAACGAGGAAUUCCUAGUAAGUGCAAGUCAUCAUCUUGCAUUGAUUAUGUCCCUGCCCUUUGUACACACCGCCCGUCGCUCCUACCGAUACCGGGUGAUCCGGUGAACCUUUUGGACCUUAACGGGGAAGAUAAGUAAACCAUAUUACCUAGAGGAAGGAGAAGUCGUAACAAGGUUUCCGUACGUGAACCUGCRGAAGGAUCA
rnacentral:rRNA from 1 species